rnacentral:rRNA from 1 species
AGAGUUUGAUCCUGGCUCAGGAAGAACGCUCGCGGCGUGCCUAACACAUGCAAGUCGGAUGGCUUACCUUUUAGGUGAGUACCAUGGCAGACGGCUGAGUAAUACGUAGGAACCAACCCCAAAGACAGAAAUAACCCAUCGAAAGGUGGGAUAAUAUCUGAUAGUCCCUCACGGGUAAAGGAGCUUGCUCCACUUUGGGACGGGCCUGCGGCCUAUCAGCUUGUUGGUGAGGUAACGGCUUACCAAGGCUUUGACGGGUAACUGGUGUGAGAGCACGACCAGUCAGAAGGGGACUGAAAACGGCCCCUAGCCCUACGGGGCGCAGCAGUGGGGAAUAUUGCGCAAUGGCCGAAAGGCUGACGCAGCGACGCCGCGUGGAGGAUGACGGCCUUCGGGUUGUAAACUCAUGUUAAAAAGCAAUGGCUAACUACGUGCCAGCAGCAGCGGUAAUACGUAGGUUGCAAGCGUUUUCCGGAUUUAUUGGGCGUAAAGAGUUUUGUAGGCGGCCUAAAAAGUUUUAAGUUAAAUCUGCGGGCUCAACCCGCAAACUGCUUAAAAUACUUUUAGGCUAGAGUCACGUAGGGGAAAGCGGAACCGAUGGAGUAGCGGUGGAAUGCGUUGAUCUCAUCGGGAACACCAAAGGCGAAGGCAGCUUUCUGGAAGUGCACUGACGCUGAGAUACGAAAGCGCGGGUAGCAAACGGGAUUAGAUACCCCGGUAGUCCGCGCCGUAAACGAUGGAUACUAGAUUCCUGCUUUUAUUAGUGGGUGUCGAAGCUAACGCGUUAAGUAUCCCGCCUGGGGAUUACGGUCGCAAGACUAAAACUCAAAGGAAUUGACGGGGAGCCGCACAAGCAGUGGAUUAUGUGGUUUAAUUCGAUGAUAACCGAAGAACCUCACCCAGGUUUGACAUUGUAGUGAAACCCUUCCGAAAGGUCGGGCCCCUUUUAGGCACUACGAACAGGUGUUGCAUGGCUGUCGUCAGUUUGUACCGUGAGGCGCCGGGUUAAGUCCCGUAACAAACGCAACCCCUAUUGCUAGUUGUAUCACUCUAGCAAAACUGCCAGUGAUAAACUGGAGGAAGGCGGGGACGACGUCAAGUCGGAAUGGCCCUUAUGCCUGGGGCUACACACAUAAUACAAUGGCCACUACAACGGGUUGCCACUAGGUAACUAGGAGCUAAUCUCUUAAAAGUGGUCUCAGUUCGGAUUGAGGGCUGCAACUCGCCCUCAUGAAGUUGGAAUUGCUAGUAAUCGCGGGUCAGCUAAACCGCGGUGAAUACGUUCUCGGCUCUUGUACACACCGCCCGUCAAGUAAAGAAAGUUGGGGGUAUCUGAACUCGCCUUUUUGGCGAGGAAGAUAAAUCCAGCAAUCGGUACUAAGUCGUAACAAGGUA